AUGGGGUUGGCAUCCUACAAUACGCUGAUGAUACGGUGUUGUGCUUUGAGCAUGAUGUUGACAAAGCUGUCAACAUCAAACUCUUGUUGUAUCUCUUCGAGCUUAUGUCAGGACUUAAGAUCAACUUUGAGAAGAGCAAAAUCUUCAGUAUUGGGGGAGAUAAUGAUAUUGACUUGGUUUAUGCGAACAUGUUUGGAUGCCAAGUGGGGACUCUCCCUAUGA
rnacentral:rRNA from 1 species